rnacentral:rRNA from 1 species
UACGAAGGGGGCUAGCGUUGCUCGGAAUGACUGGGCGUAAAGGGCGCGUAGGCGGAUGGCACAGUCAGAUGUGAAAUUCCCGGGCUUAACCUGGGGGGCUGCAUUUGAUACGUGUUGUCUUAGUUCGGAAGAGGGUCGUGGAAUUCCCAGUGUAGAGGUGAAAUUUCGUAGAUAUUUGGGAAGAACACCGGUGGCGAAGGCGGCGACCUGGUCCGACACUGACGCUGAGGCGCGAAAGCGUGGGGAGCAAACAGG